ensembl:lncRNA
AUUGAUUCUGUGGUGAAUUUACAGUACCUCAUUUACAUAAUUCAGAACGCUGAGUUGCAACUUGGUUCAUAUAUUAAGCCCCCACACACACACGUUCACACACCCACAGACAUACAGUUCCACAAACACAAACAGAUGAAGUCAAGUGUUCAGUGUCAUAUAAUUGCCAAAGACAGGUUAUAUCAUGUAAUAGUGGUUAUUACUUCUACUACUCAUGGGAUUGUUGCCAUGGGUUCCCUCCCUAGUGGGGGUGCUGGGAUGAAACAUGACAAAAACACCUUUACACCAACCUCAGCUAUAAAUAAGAAUAACUUUCAAAUUCCAGUGUUAAACUUUUGUUGUGGUUCUUGAACGUGACUCGUUUCUUCCCUCCUCCCUUCACCUGCAGGAGCGACUGCCAGGGGCGGGCCGAUCCCUGGGGAGCGCUGAGCCGCUGACGCACCUGCAGCUCAUUGCUUUGAUUCGGCAGCUACUUAAACUCCCCUCUCUUUGCCUCCUGUGCCGGAUUGUUUGUUUGUGUAUUUUGAAUCAAGCUCCAGCUCCCCGUGAUUAUUAGCCCUUCGCAUCAUUUAUUCCUUUUGCCCAGUAAGUUUGUUUAGUGCUUUGUCACUUCUUUCUGUUGUUUCCUUUCCCGUCGAUUUUUCCCAUUUUGAUGGUGAUUUUUCGUUCGCUCUUUCAGUUGUUAUUUUCUCGGAGUUUUGUUAUUACUUUGUUCGAUCGCCUUGGACGCUUUGUUAAUAAAGAACCUUUUGUUUGCACUCUGCGUCUGGGUCCUGGCCUCCUUAACCGUUCCUUAACAGAACAAUCCGGCCACUAUGGACCCAGCAGAGUCAGACCUGCUGAAGCAGACGCUUUCCGCGCAAGCAGCGCGGGUCCACCAGGUAGAGUCGGCACUGCGCCAAAUGUCAGAGCACAUGCAACGCAUCAUGGCCGGCGUCUCUCAACUCAGCGGUCAGCUGGCGGCCUUGGACGAACGGCUUCCUCGCGCACAGGACACCGCCGCGUCGGUCCCAGUUGACAGCCCGCCGACCAACCCUGCUACACAGCCACAGUUGGUGUGUGAUUACACCAGGUUCGUGGAGGAGAUGAAGCGGGUGUUCGAUCACCCGGUGACAGGAAGACAGGCGGUGAGCCAACUGCUGGACCUCCGACAGGGUAACUCCUCCGCUUCUCAAUACGUGGUAAACUUUUGCAUCCUAGCGGCAGAGAGUGGGUGGGGGGAUUCAGCCUUGCAAGCCAUAUCCCUCAAGGGGCUAGCAGGAGAGCUGAAGGACGAAUUAGCUGUUCGUGAUGAGUGCCACUCCCUCAACUCCCUUAUUGAUUUAACCAUCCACAUUGACAAUAGGAUCAGGGAGAGAGCCAGGGAGCGGCAGGGGACGCAGAGGGGACGGUUCCGCACCUACUCUGUUUUACUCACCUGA